AGAACAUAUUUCACUCGUUCGCUGCGCUCACUCGUGAGACAUUGUUUUUGCCACGAGAACACAAAAUUCAUAUCUUCUCGCCACUGUGUAAUGUCCUCUAUAUAUUGGGACAUCCUUGACGUCACGAAGCUAUUGUUCUCAAGGAAAAUGGCGGCCGUUUUUCAAAAACCCCGGGCAAAGUAGAAAUCCGCUGUCCUCUGCUUUUUAUGACCGCCCAUCCGGGACUUUUAGCUAGAAAUAGCGGACAUUUUGGACGCUAGUUAGGAGAUACGACGAGGUUUUACGUGGUUUAGCGCCGUAGAAACGCAACGAUGUACGACGAUUUUCUGACACGUUUUCAAGGUUCAUCUUGGCAUGAAAUUGCACCAUGAGAGACUUCAGGCUCUUUGCUGAAUUUGUGGAGAGACACUCAAGAUCACAAGUGCAAUGUGGAAGUAGCAGUGAAGUGGAUAAAGUUUGUUGUAUCACUGGAGAGCCAACAGCCAGUUGAAAACCACCUACAGCACAGAGGUGACAGCGAAACAGACAGGCCGGGGGUAGUGCAGCGAUUCCUAUCAGUAUCUCGAGGAAUGGCACAAAAGGUAGAGGAGAUUGUAUGUGCUCAUUUACCAGACAUUGAGGACCAUGCAAACAUGUAAGGUCCUGCAUUCAUCCAAGGUUGAGAGUAUCUAAAGAGUGAAUAAAAUAAAAUGGAUUUC